rnacentral:rRNA from 1 species
AACGUAGGUGGCGAGCGUUAUCCGGAUUUACUGGGCGUAAAGCGUGUGCAGGCGGCAGGGCAAGUGGUGUAUGAAAGCGUCCGGCUCAACCGGGCGUGGUUAGGCCAGACUGCUCUGCUAGAGACUGGGAGAGGGACGUGGAAUUCCGGGUGUAGUGGUGAAAUGCGUAGAGAUCCGGAGGAACCCCAGAGGCGAAGGCGGCGUCCUGGCCCAGUUCUGACGCUCAGACACGACAGCAUGGGGAG